rnacentral:rRNA from 1 species
UACGAAGGGGGCUAGCGUUGUUCGGAUUUACUGGGCGUAAAGCGCACAUAGGCGGAUUGUUAAGUCAGGGGUGAAAUCCUGGAGCUCAACUCCAGAACUGCCUUUGAUACUGGCAAUCUCGAGUCCGGAAGAGGUAAGUGGAACUCCUAGUGUAGAGGUGGAAUUCGUAGAUAUUAGGAAGAACACCAGUGGCGAAGGCGGCUUACUGGUCCGGAAGCUG